rnacentral:rRNA from 1 species
ACGAACGCUGGCGGCAUGCCUAACACAUGCAAGUCGAACGAGACCUUCGGGUCUAGUGGCGCACGGGUGCGUAACGCGUGGGAAUCUGCCCCUUGGUUCGGAAUAACAGUUAGAAAUGACUGCUAAUACCGGAUGAUGACGAAAGUCCAAAGAUUUAUCGCCGAGGGAUGAGCCCGCGUAGGAUUAGCUAGUUGGUGAGGUAAAGGCUCACCAAGGCGACGAUCCUUAGCUGGUCUGAGAGGAUGAUCAGCCACACUGGGACUGAGACACGGCCCAGACUCCUACGGGAGGCAGCAGUGGGGAAUAUUGGACAAUGGGCGAAAGCCUGAUCCAGCAAUGCCGCGUGAGUGAUGAAGGCCUUAGGGUCGUAAAGCUCUUUUACCAGGGAUGAUAAUGACAGUACCUGGAGAAUAAGCUCCGGCUAACUCCGU